AACGAACGCUGGCGGCAGGCCUAACACAUGCAAGUCGAACGCUCCGCAAGGGGAGUGGCAGACGGGUGAGGAAUACGGGGGAAUCUUCCUAUUGGUACGGAAUAGCUCAGGGAAACUUGGUGUAAUACCGUAUAAGCCCGUGAGGGGAAAGAUUUAUCGCCGAGAGAUGAGCACGCGUCUGCUAAGCUAGUUGGUGAGGAAAUGGUUCACCAAGGCGACGAUCAGUAGAUGGUCUCAGAGGAUGACCAGACACACUGGGACUGAGACACGGCCCAGACUCCUACGGGAGGCAGCAGUGGUGAAUAUUGGACAAUGGGCGCAAUCCAGAUCCAGCCAUGCCGCGUGAGUGACGAAGGUCUUCGGAUUGUAAAGCUCUUUUGCCAGGGACGAUAAUGACGGUACCUGGAGAAUAAGCCCCGGCUAACUUCGUGCCAGCAGCCGCCGUAAUAC
rnacentral:rRNA from 1 species